UACGAGAGGCGCAAACGUUAUUCGGAAUUACUGGGCUUAAAGAGUUCGGUAGGCGGCGCAGAAAGUAGGGUGGUGAAAGCCCUCGGCUCAACCGAGGAAUUGCGCUCUAAACUACUGUGCUUGAGGGACCUAGAGGUGAGCGGAACUGAUGGUGGAGCGGUGAAAUGCGUUGAUAUCAUCAGGAACACCGGGAGGCGAAGGCGGCUCACUGGGGGUCUUCUGACGCUGAGGAACGAAAGCCAGGGGAGCGAACGGG
rnacentral:rRNA from 1 species